AGCAGCCGCGGUAAUUCCAGCUCCAAUAGCGUAUAUUAAAGUUGUUGCAGUUAAAAGCUCGUAGUUGAAUUUCGGGAUUGGCGCAUCGGUCGUGCCUCACGGGGUAUGAACUGGUGCAGUCAAUUUCUCACCUUCUGGAGAACCGCGAUGUCCUUAAUUGGAUGCCGCGGGGAACCAGGACCUUUACUUUGAAAAAUUAGAGUGUUUAAAGCAGGCAUUUUUGCUUGAAUACAUUAGCAUGGAAUAAUAAAAUAGGACGGCAUGGUUCUAUUUUGUGGUUUCUAGGACCACCGUAAUGAUUAAUAGGGAUAGUUGGGGCAUUAGUAUUCAAUUGUCAGAGGUUGAAAUUCUUGGGAUUUAUUGAAGACUAACUACUGCGAAAGCAUUUUGCCAAGGAUGUUUUCAUUAAUCAAGAACGAAAGUUUAGGGGGAUCGAAGACGAUCAGAUACCGUCGUAGUCUUAAACCAUAAAACCUAUGCCCGACUAGGAAUCAGACGAUGUAAAUUUUU
rnacentral:rRNA from 1 species